UACGGGGGGGGCAAGCGUUGUUCGGAAUUACUGGGCGUAAAGGCUCGUAGGUGGCCAACUAAGUCAGACGUGAAAUCCCUCGGCUUAACCGGGGAACUGCGUCUGAUACUGGAUGGCUUGAGUUUGGGAGAGGGACGCGGAAUUCCAGGUGUAGCGGUGAAAAUGCGUAGAUAUCUGGAGGAACACCGGUGGCGAAGGCGGCGUCCUGGACCAACACUGACACUGAUGAGCGAAAAGCCAGGGGAGCAAAACGGG
rnacentral:rRNA from 1 species